rnacentral:lncRNA from 1 species
UACACUUAUCUAAUAAAGUAAAUACCAUCUUAUAUUAUUAGAAUAAUUGUGUCGGAUCGCUGGCGUUAACCAUUAAUUCCAAAAGCUCGAAAUGUUAGAAAUACGCAAUCAAUUCACUUAAAGCGUACAGAUCAAUGCCCACGGGUAUUGAUUGUGACUCGGCCCAACCAUCCUCAUGCCGCUUCGAACAUGACUCAGUCCACUCAGCCUCAUGCAAUUUCGAAUAUGACUCGACCCAACAUGAGCUUCCUCCACAGGGUAGGAUGCUGGCCUAUUUAUGCCAACGAUGGCCUAUUUAUGCCAACGAUCCCCUUUCCAGCACCUAUACAUAUUUGCAGUAUACGGGAAUCGAACCCGUGACAUCUAGCUCUGAUAUUACUAGUCGGAUCGUUGGCGCUAAUCAUUAAUCUCAAAAGCUCGAGCUGUAAGAAAUACGCAACCGAUUCACUUAAAGUGUACAGAUACGGUGUCCACGGGUCUCGAUUGUGACUCGGUUCAACCAGCCUCACGUCACUUCGAAUAUAACUCGGCCCACCCAACCUCACGCCAUUUCGAACAUGGCUCGGCCCAACAUGGUCUCCCGCCACAGGGUAGAAUGCUGGCCGAUUUAAGCCAACAAAUUGCACCAAUGGUCCGUAACCUUUAUUCUUUAUCCUAAUUUGUCCUUUCUAUUUUUAUUA